rnacentral:rRNA from 1 species
ACUCCUACGGGAGGCAGCAGUAGGGAAUCUUCCGCAAUGGACGAAAGUCUGACGGAGCAACGCCGCGUGAGUGAUGAAGGCUUUCGGGUCGUAAAACUCUGUUGUUAGGGAAGAACAAGUGCUAGUUGAAUAAGCUGGCACCUUGACGGUACCUAACCAGAAAGCCACGGCUAACUACGUGCCAGCAGCCGCGGUAAUACGUAGGUGGCAAGCGUUAUCCGGAAUUAUUGGGCGUAAAGCGCGCGCAGGUGGUUUCUUAAGUCUGAUGUGAAAGCCCCCGGCUCAACCGGGGAGGGUCAUUGGAAACUGGGGAACUUGAGUGCAGAAGAGGAGAGUGGAAUUCCACGUGUAGCGGUGAAAUGCGUAGAGAUGUGGAGGAACACCAGUGGCGAAGGCGACUCUCUGGUCUGUAACUGACACUGAGGCGCGAAAGCGUGGGGAGCAAACAGGAUUAGAUACCCUGGUAGUCAAUCA